rnacentral:rRNA from 1 species
GCAAGUCGAACGGAUUAUUAGAGCUUGCUCUAAUGGUUAGUGGCGGACGGGUGAGUAACGCGUGGGAACCUGCCCUGGCGUUGGGAACAACCUUUGUAAACGAAGGCUAAUACCGCAUACGCUCUACGGAGGAAAGGCUUCGGCCGCUCCAGGAUGGUCCCGCGUCUGAUUAGCUUGUUGGUGGGGUAACGGCCUACCAAGGCGACGAUCAGUAGCUGGUCUGAGAGGAUGAGC